rnacentral:rRNA from 1 species
UACGGAAGGCAGCAGUGGGGAAUAUUGGACAAUGGGCGAAAGCCUGAUCCAGCCAUGCCGCAUGAGUGAAGAAGGCCUUCGGGUUGUAAAGCUCUUUUAGUGAGAAAGAUAAUGACGGUACUCACAGAAGAAGUCCUGGCUAACUCCGUACCAGCAGCCGCGGUAAUACGGAGAGGGCUAGCGUUAUUCGGAAUUAUUGGGCGUAAAGAGCGCGUAGGCUGAUUUAGUAAGUUAAAAGUGAAAUCCCAAAGCUUAACUUUGGAAUUGCUUUUUAAAACUGCUAGUCUAGAGAUUGAAAGAGGAUAGAGGAAUUCCUAAGUGUAGAGGUGAAAUUCGUAAAUAUUAGGAGGAACACCAGUGGCGAAGGCGUCUAUCUGGUUCAAAUCUGACGCUGAGGCGCGAAGGGCGUGGGGAGCAAACGAGGGAUUUAGAUACC